CGAGUUCCCGUACGAUCACUGAAGUUAAGCAACGUCUAGCCUGGUCAGUACCUAGAUGGGUAACCACUUAGGAAUAACAGGUGCUGCAAG